rnacentral:rRNA from 1 species
GACGAACGCUGGCGGCGUGCUUAACACAUGCAAGUCGAACGGAAAGGCCCUGCUUUUGUGGGGUGCUCGAGUGGCGAACGGGUGAGUAACACGUGAGUAACCUGCCCUUGACUUUGUGAUAACUUCAGGAAACUGGGGCUAAUACCGGAUAGGAGCUCCUGCUGCAUGGUGGGGGUUGGAAAGUUUCGGCGGUUGUGGAUGGACUCGCGGCUUAUCAGCUUGUUGGUGGGGUAGUGGCUUACCAAGGCUUUGACGGGUAGCCGGCCUGAGAGGGUGACCGGCCACCAUGGGCCUAAGAUACGCACCAGAAUCCUACGGGAGGCAGCAGUGGGGAACAUUGCACAGUGGGCGGAAGCCAGAUGCAGCAACGCCGCGUGCGGGAUGACGGCCUUCGGGUUGUAAACCGCUUUCGACGGUGACGAAGCGUGAGUGACGGUAAUGGGUAAAGAAGCACCGGCUAACUACGUG